rnacentral:rRNA from 1 species
AAGUCGAGCGAACGGACGAGAAGCUUGCUUCUCUGAUGUUAGCGGCGGACGGGUGAGUAACACGUGGAUAACCUACCUAUAAGACUGGGAUAACCUCGGGAAACCGGAGCUAAUACCGGAUAAUAUUUUGAACCGCAUGGUUCAAAAGUGAAAGACGGUCUUGCUGUCACUUAUAGAUGGAUCCGCGCUGCAUUAGCUAGUUGGUAAGGUAACGGCUUACCAAGGCAACGAUGCAUAGCCGACCUGAGAGGGUGAUCGGCCACACUGGAACUGAGACACGGUCCAGACUCCUACGGGAGGCAGCAGUAGGGAAUCUUCCGCAAUGGGCGAAAGCCUGACGGAGCAACGCCGCGUGAGUGAUGAAGGUCUUCGGAUCGUAAAGCUCUGUUAUUAGGGAAGAACAUAUGUGUAAGUAACUGUGCACAUCUUGACGGUACCUAAUCAGAAAGCCACGGCUAACUACGUGCCAGCAGCCGCGGUAAUACGUAGGUGGCAAGCGUUAUCCGGAAUUAUUGGGCGUAAAGCGCGCGUAGGCGGUUUUUUAAGUCUGAUGUGAAAGCCCACGGCUCAACCGUGGAGGGUCAUUGGAAACUGGAAAACUUGAGUGCAGAAGAGGAAAGUGGAAUUCCAUGUGUAGCGGUGAAAUGCGCAGAGAUAUGGAGGAACACCAGUGGCGAAGGCGACUUUCUGGUCUGUAACUGACGCUGAUGUGCGAAAGC